rnacentral:rRNA from 1 species
CCUACGGGAGGCAGCAGUAGGGAAUCUUCCACAAUGGACGAAAGGCUGAUGGAGCCACGCCGCGUGAGUGAAGAAGGGUUUCGGCUCGGAAAGCUCUGUUGGUAGUGAAGAAAGAUAGAGGUAGUAACUGGCCUUUAUUUGACGGUAAUUACUUAGAUAGUCACGGCUAACUACGUCCCAGCAGCCGCGGUAAUACGUAGGUGGCAAGCGUUGUCCGGAUUUAUUGGGCGUAAAGCGAGGGCGGGCGGUUCAAUAAGUCUGAUGUGAAAGCCUUCGGCUCAACCGGAGAAUUGCAUCAGAAACUGUUGAACUUGAGUGCACAAGAGGAGAGUGGAACGCGAUGUGUAGCGGUGGAAUGCGUAGAUAUAUGGAAGAACAUCAGUGGCGAAGGCGACUAUCUGGCACAUAACUGACGCUGAGGAGCGAAAGCGUGGGUAGCAAACAGGAUUAGAUACCCGAGUAGUC